CCUAUUUUUACAUUCCACGUGAUUCAGAAGAGAGAGCCCGUGGGGACGUCAUUUGCAGAAUAUAUAGCUCCUCACAAGCAACUGAGGAUCACUCUCAAGGUUCACUCUUCAUCGGUCGCGCGUACGUUUGGAAAUAGGCCCAACGACAACGACAACGACACAGGCACGAAAGCUUGCAAUUGCUCAUGGGAAUGGUCUCCAUUAGCCUCCCAACUUUGAAAUGAAGGGAGAGGGAUGGAAACAUCCGUUGCUGUCCUCGUCCUUG
rnacentral:lncRNA from 1 species